rnacentral:rRNA from 1 species
AGUGAACGCUGGCGGUAGGCCUAACACAUGCAAGUCGAACGGCAGCACAGUAAGAGCUUGCUCUUACGGGUGGCGAGUGGCGGACGGGUGAGGAAUACAUCGGAAUCUACUUUUUCGUGGGGGAUAACGUAGGGAAACUUACGCUAAUACCGCAUACGACCUACGGGUGAAAGCAGGGGAUCUUCGGACCUUGCGCGAUUGAAUGAGCCGAUGUCGGAUUAGCUAGUUGGCGGGGUAAAGGCCCACCAAGGCGACGAUCCGUAGCUGGUCUGAGAGGAGGAUCGGCGACACUGGAACGGAGACACGGUCCAGACUCCUACGGGAGGCAGCAGUGGGGAAUAUUGGACAAUGGGCGCAAGCCUGAUCCAGCCAUACCGCGUGGGUGAAGAAGGCCUUCGGGUUGUAAAGCCCUUUUGUUGGGAAAGAAAAGCAGCAGGUUAAUACCACGCUGUUCUGACGGUACCCAAAGAAUAAGCACCGGCUAACUUCGUG